rnacentral:rRNA from 1 species
CCUACGGGAGGCAGCAGUGGGGAAUAUUGGGCAAUGGGCGCAAGCCUGACCCAGCAACGCCGCGUGAAGGAAGAAGGCCCUCGGGUUGUAAACUUCUUUUAUCAGGGACGAAGCAAGUGACGGUACCUGAUGAAUAAGCCACGGCUAACUACGUGCCAGUAGCCGCGGUAAUACGUAGGUGGCAAGCGUUAUCCGGAUUUACUGGGUGUAAAGGGCGUGUAGGCGGGAAAGCAAGUCAGAUGUGAAAACCAUGGGCUCAACCUGUGGCCUGCAUUUGAAACUGUUUUUCUUGAGUACUGGAGAGGUAGACGGAAUGCGUAGUGUAGCGGUGAAAUGCGUAGAUAUUAGGAGGAACACCAGUGGCGAAGGCGGUCUGCUGGACAGCAACUGACGCUGAGGCACGAAAGCGUGGGGAGCAAACAGGAUUAGAUACCCUAGUAGUC